CGUUCUAUGGCCACAUUGGUAAAGGCAUCGCCGAUCACAGGCUAGGAUGCGGGUUCGAGUCCCGCUGGAACGG
rfam:Operophtera brumata OBRT01_Sc00018, whole genome shotgun sequence.